AAUUAAAUAGUUUAAUAAAAACAUUAUAAUUUCAUUAUAAAAAUAAUUUUACUUAAUUUUUAAUUA
rnacentral:tRNA from 1 species